GACGAACGCUGGCGGCGUGCUUAACACAUGCAAGUCGAACGGAAAGGCCCUGCUUUUGUGGGGUGCUCGAGUGGCGAACGGGUGAGUAACACGUGAGUAACCUGCCCUUGACUUUGGGAUAACUUCAGGAAACUGGGGCUAAUACCGGAUAGGAGCUCCUGCUGCAUGGUGGGGGUUGGAAAGUUUCGGCGGUUGGGGAUGGACUCGCGGCUUAUCAGCUUGUUGGUGGGGUAGUGGCUUACCAAGGCUUUGACGGGUAGCCGGCCUGAGAGGGUGGCCGGCCACCAUGGGACUGAGAUACGGCCCAGACUCCUACGGGGGGCAGCAGUGGGGAAUAUUGCCCAAUGGGCGGGAGCCUGAUGCGACGACGCCGCGUGCGGGAUGACGGCCUUCGGGUUGUAAACCGCUUUCGCCUGUGACGAAGCGUGAGUGACGGUAAUGGGUAAAGAAGCACCGGCUAACUACGUG
rnacentral:rRNA from 1 species